rnacentral:pre_miRNA from 1 species
AACUCAGACUCGGCCUUGGAAUCGGUCGAGGGUCAACUCGGACUCGGACUUGGGAUUGACGCGGAUCGAUCUGAUUUCAAUGACUCGGUUUACUAA